rnacentral:rRNA from 1 species
GACGAACGCUGGCGGCGUGCUUAACACAUGCAAGUCGAACGGAAAUGCCCUGCUUUUGUGGGGUGCUCGAGUGGCGAACGGGUGAGUAACACGUUAGUAACCUGCCCUUUACUUUGGGAUAACUUCAGGAAACUGGGGCUAAUACCGGAUAUGAGCUCCUGCUGCAUGGUGGGGGUUGGAAAGUUUCGGCGGUUGGGGCUGUACUCGCGGCUUAUCAGCUUGUUGGUGGGCUAGUGGCUUACCAAGGCUUUGACGGGUAGCCGGCCUGAGAGGGUGAACGGCGACAUGGGGACUGAGAUACGGCGCAGACGCGUACGGGAGGCAGCAGUGGGGAGUAUGGCAGAGUGGGCGGAAGCCAGAGGCAGCAACGUCGCGUGCGGGAUGACGGCCUUCGGGAGGUAAACCGCGAUCGCAGGUGACGAAGCGUGAGUGACGGUAAUGGGUAAAGAAGCAACGGCUAACUACGUG